GACAGAGGGUGCAAACGUUGUUCGGAAUUACUGGGCGUAAAGCGUGUGUAGGCGGCCUUGCAAGUCGGAUGUGAAAGCCCCGGGCUCAACCCGGGAAGUGCACUCGAUACUGCAGGGCUUGAGUGUCGGAGAGGUUGGUGGAAUUCUCGGUGUAGAGGUGAAAUUCGUAGAUAUCGAGAGGAACACCGGCGGCGAAGGCGGCCAACUGGACGACUACUGACGCUGAGACACGAAAGCGUGGGGAGCAAACAGG
rnacentral:rRNA from 1 species